GGUGGCGUCGUGGCUCGCGGUCCAGAUUGCCCAACUGGUCUAAGGCCCCGGCUUCAAACGCGCUCCAGAUGACAGAACUGGUCUCAGGCUCCGCCUUCCUACUGCUUUAGCUCACGAAGUACGCCCUGUGAGGUAUUUUCGGUCUCUGCAAAUGAGUUCCUGCUCCAAAAAGAAAGGACAGAAAAUCAAAAUCGGAGCGUUUCCAAUGUUAUGAAAUUGCCCCUGUAGAAUUUCUCACCAAAUGUGAGCAAGCCAAUCACAGGAGAGGAAGGAAGGAAGGAAGGAAGGAAGCUGGCGGCAGGCUCACACAAAUGGUGAAAGAAUCACAGGACAGCUGGAAGGAGCAUUUUUUUUUUUUCCGUCUUCCUUCGCAUGGCACACAUCAUUGGCUGGUGCUGAAGGUCCAGGGGGGGUGAGGCACUUUUCUUCACCUCAUCAUCAGAGCACUUUUCCAGAUGGCCAGAGCAGACCGAGGCUUCCGCUGACCCCACCCAGGAAUCCCAUCUGUCCAAAAAUCCAAGCAUCGUCAUUUGGCCUGCCGGUUCUCCCCGUAGCUGGAAGCUCUGCAAAAUCAUUUGCAAUCAAUUAUUCCUUCCUACUGGAGCUUUGGGACCCUUCAAGUCUCUUAAGCAUCUUAAAGUUAUUUUGGGCCAGGCAGAUGUUCCGACACAGAUGUGGAGAAUAGACGUCGUCUCAGUUGAGUGAGAAGAAGAAACUGCGCCGUUGGUAGCAACUCCACGCCUCGUUCUAGUCCAUGUAUACGCCGGACCUUGUGAAUAUGGCGGCGGCCUUCGCUGAGGUACGUAUCUUUCCUAUAGCCUUAAAUAAUGCAGAAUGCUUUGGCAUUCAUUCAUUUUGCUUUCGUUCACUUUGCCGAUUUUAGGAAGCCAAAUCCAGGCAAUCCCUGGCAAGCCUGUUUGCUUUCAAGGUUAGUCGGAGAUGGCGAAACGCCGCAAAGAAUGAAAACA